rnacentral:tmRNA from 1 species
GGGGGUGACCUGGUUUCGACGUGGGUUGCAAAGCAGCGCAGGGCAUACCGAGGUCCAGUCACCUCGUAAAUCCGCUGGAAACGCAAUAGUCGCCAACGACGACCGUUACGCUCUGGCCGCCUAACACCGGCCAGACUCUGCACCCGUUCUGCCUGUGGGGCGGGACUGGAACGCGGCGCAAGCCUCGGUCCGGUUGCAGAGUCAUCUCUCACGGGCUCGUGUCGGCCAGAGUCACGGUAGCCGGCACUAAAGCUCAGUGACUCGCUGUC